CAAGUGGGGCAGUUCCAACUUUGCAAGGACAGUCUGGCGCUUCUGACUCACAGACUGUACUCUGUCCUGCGGCGUUCAGCUCAAACACAGCUGAUCAAGCUAAUACGGUCUACUGGCUCACUACACACUUCCAGGCAAGUGUGUUAGAGAUCAAAUCUGCUUGACGUUGGCCCUCAGGUACCAGGAUUGGACAUCCCUGGGUCCAAAAGUGCAGUCCCAAGACAGAACAACAGCAGCAGACAGGCAUCGUUUAUUCAUUUAGAAAAGAACAUAAAAGAGAAGCAUUUUCACAAGCGGUCUCCGUUAUAUUGACCUUACAGUAUGGUCACCGCCCACAUUUCCUCAGAGGACAAAAUAAUUGCACGUUUUGAAACAUGUUAUUGAUUGUCUUGUGCAUUAUGACGCUCACACUUGCCCACAGCACACGGAGAGAUCGAUUCUUUUUUAACACUAAUGCACGCAAGUCAUUUCAACACUUUAUUUUUGGAUUAAACGCAUUCUAUAAAUACACUUACAUAAUCAUGGAUAGCGUUCUAGUAAGAAAUCGCAGCAAGAAGCCUGUAAAAUAAAAACAAGACGCAUAUUAGAACAACCUUUCUCAAAUUGAGUUUUUUUUUAAGAUUAGGAUUGCAUACCUAAAAUAGGGUGUCGGUCAAAUGGCCAAGUUAGAUGAGCUCCGUUCCUCUCGGAGGUCUGGGAUCGCAGAAGCAGGAUUAGAUCCCUGCCAGACCAUUUCCUUCCAUGAGCGCUGAAGCUCCUCGGAAACAUUCGGGUGAGGGGGCGUUCCCGACCACAUCAGUGACUGUGCCGAUAGGUUAAUAGGACUCCAUGUGGACUCCAAACAUGAUUUUGGGCUCUCAACUAUGGCCUUCACAAGGGACACUUCCCAUGAUGGGUGUGUGGUCGUCAGAUCAACACAGGACAGGUCCAGCGAGCUGACCAGGACGGGCUUUUGAAACACGACUCUCUCGUAGGGUGUGGAGGACUUGCCUUGCACUGGACUGCUCAGCGCUGUGCUCAGGGCGCUGCCUGGAGAGAGGGCGUUCUUGUUGAGGGCAACUAAGGGUGAUAAAAGACUUGUGGAGUAGCUCAGACAUGGUGCAACCGCAGGGUUGGGCUCUGAAUACUCCAGCACAAUGCCUUUGUUUGGUCUCAGGAAGCCAUCGGCUGAAACCGCUGAUAAAGACAGACUCUGGUCUGCACAAAAGCCUCUGUCGAAGUCAGACAGUGAUGGGCCCUCGUAGCUCCUGGUCAGCUCUAGAACACAAGCAGUGUUUAGAAUGAAAAACAUUGUUAGGUUCGAUGUAAAACUAGUUUUUAUGUACAUGUAUUAGGACUUCACCAGGUCUGUCACGUCCUGCAUCCAUUAGGAAAGCAUGGCGUUAAUUAGACUCAGCUUGCAUUUAUAGCUGAGCUUGAGUAGGUCAUUAACGAGUCGUUCUCCAACUACAGCAGAGGUGCCCAAACUCGGUCCUGGAGGGCCGGUGUCCUGCAGAGUUUAGCUCCAACCUGCCUCAACACACCUGCUGGAGGUUUCUAGCAUGCCUAGCAAGA
ensembl:lncRNA